rnacentral:tRNA from 1 species
GUCCCCGUAGCUCAGCAGGAUAGAGCAUUCGCCUCCUAAGCGAAGGGUCAGCCGUUCGAGUCGGCUCGGGGACGCCA